UUGAGCCCUUGAGCCUACACACAAGACCUCCUUGUUUCCUUCCACCAUUUCUCGCGAGACACUCAUUUCUCGCGAAGCACUCAUUUCUCGCUAGAAACGAGACUCCUUUCUCGCGAAGCUUUUACUUUCACACCGUCUCCAACAUCCUCCGCUGAAUACACUGCCACUGAACAGGUUCAUAAUGAAAAAAAAAAAAAAAAAGACCAGGUCCUGCAGCCUCAUCCUCAGCAGCCUCGUGGGGCUCCAGCAGCCAAUUUCCUAGCAUCUGCAUCCUGGGCACACCUGGGGCUUCUCAUUCCAGCCCCACCACUACUUCACAGAGACUUCUGCUACCAGCCAGCGGCAGAGGAGAUGGGCCCAUACAAGCAGAAACUUUCAUUCACCAGGACUUGGCAGGAACUCAGAGAACCUUCACAACUCCUUGACUGGCUGUAAGACAAACUGCCUCUUCGAUCCAACUGAAUAAUCCAGUAUCCAAAUAGCAGGGGACAAUCCAGGGCAAACAAGGGCUUCCAUACCAAUGCCCCUAGAGCAGGGAGGGGCACACGAUUUUCAAAGACAUUCCUGAAGCUCCCUGCCACAGAACACCUCCUCUUUCUUGGGACACCAUGAAUGAGGGAAUUGUUAAGUGAAGCAGCAGAGACUUGGCCUGGAUGUUGAGAAGACACCCUGAGUUACAAUCUGGGAUGCUGAGACACAUGACAAAGUUAUCUGAGGACCCCCAGGGAGGCUGUUCUUUGCUCAGAGUUGAGGGGGCAGCGUGGCAUUCCAUUCCCCAUGCAAUUUGGGAAGGUCUUUCAGACACAGAGCGGGUAUCAUGAAAUACAGCCUAAACCCACACAUAUGUAUCAUUCCUGCUCCCCACAGUUAAACAAUUAGCCUGCAUAACCGCUUGAGUGGAGGGAGAGGUACCAGAAGGAGCCAGCCUCAUCCCUCCUGUAACCUGGCUGUGAUAUCACCCCAGUUCUGGCUAACUUUGCCAAGAAGCAUGCAGGGGACACCAGGGAACUCUUAA